UACGUAGGGUGCGAGCGUUAAUCGGAAUUACUGGGCGUAAAGCGUGCGCAGGCGGUUUUUUAAGACAGAGGUGAAAUCCCCGGGCUUAACCUGGGAACUGCCUUUGUGACUGCAAGGCUUGAGUGCGGCAGAGGGGGAUGGAAUUCCGCGUGUAGCAGUGAAAUGCGUAGAUAUGCGGAGGAACACCGAUGGCGAAGGCAAUCCCCUGGGCCUGCACUGACGCUCAUGCACGAAAGCGUGGGGAGCGAACAGG
rnacentral:rRNA from 1 species